rnacentral:tRNA from 1 species
GCCUGGCUGGCUCAGUUGGUGUAGUAUGCAGCUCUUAAUCUCGGGGUUGUGGGUUCAAGCCCCACGCUAGGUG